GACGAACGCUGGCGGCGUGCUUAACACAUGCAAGUCGAACGGUGAUCCCCAGCUUGCUGGGGGUGAUCAGUGGCGAACGGGUGAGUAACACGUGAGCAACCUGCCCCCGACUCUGGGAUAGCCUCGGGAAACCGGGAUUAAUACCGGAUAUGACACUGCCAGGCAUCUGGUGGUGUGGAAAGUUCUUCGGUCGGGGAUGGGCUCGCGGCCUAUCAGCUUGUUGGUGA
rnacentral:rRNA from 1 species